rnacentral:rRNA from 1 species
UACGUAGGAGGCAAGCGUUGUCCGGAAUUACUGGGCGUAAAGCGCGUGUAGGUGGUGGGACAAGUCUGCUGUGAAAGUGCCUGGCUUAACCGGGCGAGGUCGGCGGAAACUGUCCGACUCGAGGACGGUAGAGGGGGGUGGAAUUCCCGGUGUAGUGGUGAAAUGCGUAGAGAUCGGGAGGAACACCAGCGGCGAAGGCGGCAUCCUGGACUGGUACUGACGCUCAGGAGCGAAAGCGUGGGGAGCGAUCCGG